AUACGGAGGGGGCUAGCGUUGUUCGGAUUUACUGGACGUAAAGGGCGCGUAGGCGGCUACGCAAGUCGGACGUGAAAUCCCUCGGCUCAACUGAGGAACUGCGUCCGAAACUGCGUAGCUCGAGUCCCGGAGAGGGUAGCGGAAUUCCCAGUGUAGCGGUGAAAUGCGUAGAUAUUGGGAGGAACACCAGUGGCGAAGGCGGCUACCUGGACGGGUACUGACGCUGAGGCGCGAAAGCUAGGGGAGCAAACAGGAUUAGAAACCCCAGUAGUCC
rnacentral:rRNA from 1 species